rnacentral:lncRNA from 1 species
GAAAGGAAAAAAAAAGUGACAGACAAAAGGAAUACAUAUAUAAAGCAUUUUAUUUUUAUUUUUUAUUUUUGAUAAUAUUAAAUAUGCGAAUACACUUUUCAGUUUUAGUAAAAGUUGGAGUGUUUUGCACCAAAAUUGAGUUGGAAUCCAUUAUUGCCUUAGGUCGCUUUAGGUUUGUGAAUUUUCGGGGGAAUAAAACGCAUCGGUUUCUCUUGCUGUGUUGCAUCCCUCCGGGGACUGUAAUAUAUCUGUGUGAUGUCGCACCGUGUCAGGAUGACUACAAGAGUAAAUCCUUCUUGCACUUCGCCACAUGUAAGUUCCUCGAAGGCCAACCUACAUGCCAGAUUGAAUAUCUGCCAUAUUCUUUUAUCUUACGCUAAAAAUUACCUACAGGGGAAAAAUAUACGGCAACGCUAACAGCACUUAAUCGAAUUGUUAAUCUUUUAUACGAGUUACACGCUAG